rnacentral:rRNA from 1 species
UGGUGGAGUGAUUUGUCUGGUUAAUUCCGAUAACGAACGAGACCUUAACCUGCUAAAUAGUCAGGCCGGCUUUUGCUGGUCUCUGGCUUCUUAGAGGGACUGUCAGCGUCUAGCUGACGGAAGUUUGAGGCAAUAACA